rnacentral:rRNA from 1 species
UACGAAGGGGGCUAGCGUUGCUCGGAAUUACUGGGCGUAAAGCGUGCGUAGGCGGUUCGUUAUGUCUGCUGUGAAAGCCCCGGGCUUAACCUGGGAAUGGCAGUGGAAACUGGCGGGCUUGAGUGUGGCAGGAGGGGGGUGGAAUUCCGCGUGUAGCAGUGAAAUGCGUAGAGAUGCGGAGGAACACCGAUGGCGAAGGCAGCCCCCUGGGCUGACACUGACGCUGAGGCACGAAAGCGUGGGGAGCAAACAGG